rnacentral:rRNA from 1 species
UAAUUGAAGAGUUUGAUCAUGGCUCAGAUUGAACGCUGGCGGCAGGCCUAACACAUGCAAGUCGAGCGGUAACAGGGGAAGCUUGCUUCCCGCUGACGAGCGGCGGACGGGUGAGUAAUGUAUGGGGAUCUGCCCGAUAGAGGGGGAUAACCACUGGAAACGGUGGCUAAUACCGCAUAAUCUCUUAGGAGCAAAGCAGGGGAACUUCGGUCCUUGC